rnacentral:rRNA from 1 species
CACACGACUCUCGGCAACGGAUAUCUCGGCUCUCGCAUCGAUGAAGAACGUAGCGAAAUGCGAUACCUGGUGUGAAUUGCAGAAUCCCGCGAACCAUCGAGUCUUUGAACGCAAGUUGCGCCCGAGGCCACCCGGCUGACGGCACGCCUGCCUGGGCGUCACGCC